rnacentral:misc_RNA from 1 species
UCCGGUUUGGCACCGGCAGUCCCUCUAGAGUCCUCGACUUGACUCGCUAGCAACUGGGAGCGGGGGUUGCGCUCGUUGCGGGACUUAACCCAACAUCUCACGACACGAGCUGACGACAGCCAUGCAGCACCUGUUACCGAGUUCCUUGCGGCACAGUCUGGUUUCCCAGACCUCCUCGGAAUGUCAAACCUUGGUAAGGUUCUUCGCGUAGCUUCGAAUUAAACCACACGCUCCACCGCUUGUGCGGGUCCCCGUCAAUUCCUUUGAGUUUUAAGCUUGCGCUCGUACUCCCCAGGCGGAAUGCUUAACGCGUUAGCUUCGCUACCGAGCCGGUCGAUAGGCCCAACAGCUAGCAUUCAUCGUUUACGGCGUGGACUAC